rnacentral:rRNA from 1 species
CUUGGCAUCUGGAGCCGAAGAAGGACGUCGUAAUCUGCGAUAAGCCUCGGGGAGCUGAUAAACGAGCUGUGAUCCGAGGAUUUCCGAAUGGGGAAACCCCGCCAGGCCCCUUGUGGUGACCUGGUGACUCCCGCCUGAAUAUAUAGGGCGGGUAGAGGGAACGUGGGGAAGUGAAACAUCUCAGUACCCACAGGAAGAGAAAACAACAGUGAUUCCGUCAGUAGUGGCGAGCGAACGCGGAAGAGGCUAAACCGAAUCAUGUGUGAUACCCGGCAGGGGUUGCAUGGUCGGGGUUGUGGGACUUUUCGUUGUGUUCUGCCGAGCACUGAACGUUACAGCGCAUCAUAGACGAACAGGUUUGAAUGCCUGGCCAGAGCGGGUGCGACGCCCGUAGUCGAAAUGGUGUUAUGGCGUGAAGAGUACUCCCAAGUAGCGACGGGGCCGAGAACUCCGUGUGAAUCUGUCAGGACCACUGAUAACGCCUAAAUACUCCAGAUCGACCGAUAGCGACAAGUCCGUAGGG